CUUGUUGGUGAGGUAGUGGCUCACCAAGGCGACGACGGGUAGCCGGCCUGAGAGGGCGACCGGCCACACUGGGACUGAGACACGGCCCAGACUCCUACGGGAGGCAGCAGUGGGGAAUAUUGCACAAUGGGCGAAAGCCUGAUGCAGCGACGCCGCGUGAGGGAUGACGGCCUUCGGGUUGUAAACCUCUUUCAGCAGGGAAGAAGCGAAAGUGACGGUACCUGCAGAAGAAGCGCCGGCUAACUACGUGCCAGCAGCCGCGGUAAUACGUAGGGCGCAAGCGUUGUCCGGAAUUAUUGGGCGUAAAGAGCUCGUAGGCGGCUUGUCACGUCGGUUGUGAAAGCCCGGGGCUUAACCCCGGGUCUGCAGUCGAUACGGGCAGGCUAGAGUUCGGUAGGGGAGAUCGGAAUUCCUGGUGUAGCGGUGAAAUGCGCAGAUAUCAGGAGGAACACCGGUGGCGAAGGCGGAUCUCUGGGCCGAUACUGACGCUGAGGAGCGAAAGCGUGGGGAGCGAACAGGAUUAGAUACCCUGGUAGUCCACGCCGUAAACGGUGGGCACUAGGUGUGGGCAACAUUCCACGUUGUCCGUGCCGCAGCUAACGCAUUAAGUGCCCCGCCUGGGGAGUACGGA
rnacentral:rRNA from 1 species